rnacentral:rRNA from 1 species
UACAGAGGGUGCAAGCGUUAAUCGGAAUUACUGGGCGUAAAGCGUGCGUAGACGGUUAUGUAAGUCAGAUGUGAAAGCCCCGGGCUUAACCUGGGAAUGGCAUUUGAGACUGCAUAGCUAGGGUGCGGAAGAGGGAAGCGGAAUUUCCGAUGUAGCGGUGAAAUGCGUAGAUAUCGGAAGGAACACCAGUGGCGAAAGCGGCUUCCUGGUCCAGCACCGACGUCAGGCACGAAAGCGUGGGGAGCAAACAGG